AUGUCGGCCGCUGUCACUGCAACUGUAUCGGCGGUCUGUGCGACCGUGGCAGUAGUGAUAACCAUCCUGAUGAUCAGAGGAUGCCGCCGUUGGAGGUGGAAAGUUUACAAGAAGUUCAUGGCCAAGAUCUCCGACGAGGUCAACAGAAGGAACCGAGAGCUGGAAGCAUGCGCUGCCGUGAACGAUGUGGUGAUCGAGAUCGGCCCCGUGGAGAAGUUCCUCCACGAGAUCCUCAACGAGAAGCCGAUGAGGUUCAGCUCGGAGCAGCUGGCGUCGUGCACCGGGGACUACUCCACCGAGCUCGGCUCCGGCGGCUUCGGGGUGGUCUACAAGGGGGAGCUCCCUAACGGGCUGCCGGUGGCGGUGAAGGUGCUCAAGGUGUCCAUGAACAAGAAGGUGCAGGAGGGGUUCAUGGCGGAGAUCGGCACCAUCGGCCGGACCUACCACGUGCACCUCGUCAGGCUCUACGGCUUCUGCUUCGACCCCAACACCAAGGCGCUCGUCUACGAGUACCUCGAGAACGGCUCGCUGGAGAAGUACCUCUACCGCGACGGGGAAGGCGCCGGCGAGGGCGGGAGAAAGGAGAGGCUCGAGUGGCGGACGCUGCACAGCAUCGCCAUCGGCACGGCCAAGGGGAUAAGAUACCUCCACGAGGAGUGUCAGCAGAGGAUCGUGCACUACGACAUCAAGCCGGCCAACAUCCUCCUCACCGCCGACUUCACGCCCAAGGUGGCGGACUUCGGGCUGGCCAGGCUGGGCGAGCGCGAGAACCCGCACAUGUCGUCGCUGACGGGCGGCGGGCGCGGGACGCCAGGAUACGCUGCGCCGGAGCUGUGGAUGGCGCUGCCCACGACGGAGAAGUGCGACGUGUACAGCUUCGGCAUGGUGCUGUUCGAGAUCCUGGGGCGGCGCCGGAACUACGACGCCCAGCUGGAGGACGAGAGCCGCGAGUGGUUCCCCAAGUGGGUGUGGGACAAGUACGAGCAGGGGAACAUGGAGUCCAUCGUGUCCGCGGCCGCCGGCGUCGGGGAGGCGGACCGGGAGAAGGCGGAGACCAUGUGCAAGGUGGCGCUGUGGUGCGUGCAGUUCCAGCCGUCGGCGCGGCCGACCAUGAGCAGCGUGGUGCGGAUGCUGGAGGGGGAGAUGGCCAUCGUGCCGCCAGUGAACCCGUUCCACUACGUGUCGGGCGGCGGCAGCUCCAGCAGCUGGGCGCUGUCGAGCGGCACCGGCACCGGCACGUUCACGAGCAGCAGCCGUGAUACGGGAUGGGACAACAAGGUCUCGGCAGCAAGCACUCCUCGUAAGCCGACAGAUGAAAUGGUGAAAGGUGUCAAGUCCACUGAGCCAGUGACGACAUAG
rnacentral:rRNA from 1 species